UACGGGGGGGGCAAGCGUUGUUCGGAAUUACUGGGCGUAAAGGGCUCGUAGGCGGCCAACUAAGUCGGAUGUGAAAUCCCCAGGCUCAACCUGGGAACUGCAUCCGAUACUGGAUGGCUUGAAUUCGGGAGAGGGAUGCAGAAUUCCAGGUGUAGUGGUGAAAUGCGUAGAUAUCUGGAGGAAUACCGGUGGCGAAGGCGGCAUCCUGGACCGACAUUGACGCUGAGGAGCGAAAGCCAGGGGAGCAAACGGG
rnacentral:rRNA from 1 species